rnacentral:misc_RNA from 1 species
CGAAGAUAUACGAAAUCACUCGUGUAUGUGAAAACCGGCUCCUACCGGCAGAGUUCGCAACGUACAACGCUUUGAGUGGACGCUCCGUAUCAUAUUAAUUCUUUUAUGCGCAAUUCGUUUGUAAUUUAGUGCGAAUAAAGUGUAAAAAUCAAGACUGUGCAAUCAAUUAAGAUCUUCUAUCCACGACAGCGUUCUUUAUAUCGUCGAUACCAGUUGAGACUCUGGCGUGGUCCGGGAAGCUGCGAAAUAGUAAGAAGUAAUAGAAAUAUCCUUCCGCCGUCGUAGGAUCAGUGGCGUCGAUCUUUCAAAAGGGAAUUUGAAGCUGUUCAUUAUUCUGAUCGAAGUCGUCGACACAAAGGCUCCGAAAGCAAGAGGAGAAAGAAGUGAGAAGAAAACUAUCUAUUUCAAAAAUAUUGGGUAAUGUAAAAAGUUUUGGAAAAAUUGCAAACUAUGUUGUUGAAAACGAUUAAACAAUCGUUUCUGUAAAUGUACUAUCGCAUUAACCGAAGAAACAAAGGUCGAG